UGCUGGUGGCUGAGCUCACAGGGCAGUGCUGGCAGCUGCAGCACAGCCCCAGCUUAUCUGCUGGGCACCUGCUGGGGAGCUCCCGGAGGCAGGAAGGCCAGGACGUCUAGGCAGCUAAGUGCUAAGUAUUCCCCAAAGUUUCUGCAAGAGUGCCUAGUGGAAAAAAAAGAAAAGGCUAGCAGGAGUUCUGCGUGAAGUGCAGGUCAGCGGAAGAUGAUGGCGUGGUGGAACGGCUGGCUGGGGCUGCCUUUGGAGCAGGUACAGGUGACUGUGAUGGGGUACAGCCCAUCUCCUUCCCACAGGGUGUCCAGGCUAUCACUGUGACUUCAGCUACAGCGAGGGGAGCACACCCAGCGACGUGGUGACACCCCACGACGUGGUGACAAGGGAAUGGGACGGUGGCAACUGGCUUUGGAGGUACCAGGUUAUCUGCAGCUCGUAUCAGGGAAAGAUGCAAAACCCCUUGCUCUGUUCCUCUCACCCCUCGCAGAACCGAAACCUGCACUUCUGCAGGGGCAUGCUCUGGUGUCAGAGCACAAGGAUUUUUUUCAGUGUGAACGACAGCAAGUUUCCUUGAACCUGUUUUUCUGGAGGAGUAUCUCCAAAUGGAUAAUCACCCCUUGUGCACCUGGUAGUGGGCUGGAGUUGCAGUCAGGUGGGAGUUUACAGGAUCUCAGGCCCUCCUCCUAUGGGGCUGUGAUGAGAAGGAACACCUUUGCUAAGGAGGCAUUUAUGGGUAGCAGUUAUUUCUUGCACCCAGCCCUCAGGCAGGUUGCAGCUUCCCUCCCAGCAGGAAUGAACUCAUUGCAGGAGGUGACAGAGCGCACGAACAAGACUUUAAAUACAUUUCAGGCAGUUUGUGGUAUCUCUUGCACCUUUAACACAGCAGGCAGCCAGAAAGCAGGUGCUGAUAGACCAGGUGAUAAGAUGCCAACACCUGAAUUACGCCUUGCGGUAUUUCUGGUACAUUACAGCAACAGACUAAAGAUCUUAAAGCCCAGGAGAGUAUCACAAUGACCUAGUCAGUCCAUCUGUGUAAAACAGCCCAGGAAUUCCACCUCAGUUUUUACUCCACCAGCUUGAGUAAUGUGUGGCUGAAUUUUAGUGAUGAUUUAGAAGAUCUGCUCUUGAAUUAUACAGGCUUCAAGUGGUGGCAACUUCAUGCCAUCCUUCAGUGAAUGCUUUCAGCAGUCAUUUACCACAGCUGUUAAAAACUGGCACCUCGCUCCUUGUUCAUACAUUGCUCUUUCAACUUACAGUUUCUGGCUUGCCAAGUGCUCUGUAACCUCCUGAGGAAUUAAAAGUAGUGGGUAAGACCCAAAUUCUCGCCUCUGACCCCUCCAGCAUCCAUUGAUGCUCCCCGGGGAGCGAGCCGGGGUGCAGCCCUGCAGUGCCCUGCCUUGCUGGUGAGGUGGGCUCUGCGGGACGCGUCUCCCGCUCUGUGUCAGGGCUUCCUUUGGUGUGGAUCGGUACAGCUUAGGUCUCCUGCAGGAAAACAAAGCUGGUUUAGUAACCUGACCAACCCGAUAAAGUUUUCCCUGAGCAUCAGCAAAUAUUUUAGAGGUGAGGUGGCAGAUUGCUUCUUACUGCUAUGCACAUACCUACAUAUGUAAAUAGAUAUAAAUUUAUAUGAGAUGUAGUCUUUCUGCUACUCCUUUAAAAGAUUUAAAAAUCCUUUUCCCAGGGGGUGUGUGGAAGCUGUCAUAUUUCUAACAUGUUGCCAAUCUGCAUUUCCUAUUGAUCUUAUCUACUCUGCUGUGCCGCAGCAGUCUCUGUUUCACAUUGUAGCCCUGGGGCCUCCAUCCUCAUUAGAAAUCCUUUCCCGGGAGACUGCAGAUCACCAGCUGAUCACAGAUCCAGUAGUAACAGACAGCAACCAAACUCUCCGAGCCCCUGAAAUAAAAGCAAGAAACGGACAGCGAGGGCUGUGACUGGCACCAUGGGGAGUAAGUGGCUGGAAGGCUAACGAUGCGACCUGCUGAUAUCUCCAUUUUUACUACAUCCAAUUAAGCAAUAAAUGGUUCUGGUGGAAGUGUGGAGGCACACAGAUUAUUAUGCAAAUCAGGUCCCUUUGCUACCAGUGGGGUCCUGCAUUGCCCGAAAUAGCACCGGUAGGAUAUUAGUGCAAAUGUCACCUUUCCUGUCUGUUAGUUAUUGCCUCCCAUCUCACCCAUCGUGCGGCUUCCCAGAGGUCAGAGCCAUGAUUUCUCACAGACUCGGGACUGAAAUGGAUUUUAAAGAGGAUAUUUAACAAAGCUCCAGUCACCUUCCACGAACCUGCUGAUGCAACCAACACUGGUGGCUGGAGAGCCUGCCGCAGUGGCAAAGACGCCUGAAGAAACCACCUUGACUUCUUCACCAAGAAAUCUGUGUGGAGCCAAGCUAUGAACUGGUUCACGGACAUGCUCCAGACUAGAAAAGACAUGUACUUUUGGGGAGGUGGUGGACAGAGCUGCCUGGAAGCAGCAAGCUGAGGGCUCUGGUGGAAAUCUGGGGCUUUACCAUCAGUUUACUUAUACCAUUAAAGAAGUAGAUUGGAAGGAGUGACACUGAGAAUUUUUAAUCCCUUUAUUUCCCAAGUUAUUUUGCCCUCACUGAUUCCCUCAAAGAGAUCUCUUCUGCUCCGUGUCCCUAAAAUGCGAGCGAGACAAGAGGUGCGGGCUGCUUGCCCCCAUCCCUGCCACUAACCGUUGUUAGCUGACAAAAGCCAUUGUUUGCUGCCACUGGUUAUUGUUCCAGCGGUGGCAGCAGCCCCCAAGCGCCAGUCCUCAGCUCUGGGCCCUUUUUGUGCUCGGCACAAACAAUUGCACAGUCCCUUUCUAUAGAUGGCUGCAAUUUAAAGAGAAAUACUUUUCUCUGCAUUUUCCCACAGGCCCCAAGGAUGCAGAAAUUCACAGGCUGGCUGCAGACACCCUGGUGAAGGGGGACAGAGAGAGAGCAAUCGUCACCCGUUGGUAUAGCACGUGGCCCAGACUAAGCACACUGCAAUUCUUCAGGUCACAAAAGGUAUCGCCUCAUCAGCUGCACUGGGGUAGAUCUGUCCCUCAAUCUCCAGAUCAAAACCUCUGAGUUUAUAUCACAGUUCAGUGAGGUUUACUGCAAAGUUCCCGUCUCUGUCCCUGGUGCAAAACUACACUGAACUGAACUUGUCCAGAUUUUGCAAAAGAAAUGUAAUUGUCCGUGGCCAGUGAUGCCAAGAUCUGAUCUUUGGGCACAAGGCUGACAGAAAAGAUGAAUGCAAACAAACCCAACUAUGUAAAAUGUGCAAGGGACCCUGAUAACAAGGCAGUCCACAUCAUUUGGUGAUCUCUUGAACAUCCACAGCACAACUCCAAGAUGCAUGAUGAAACCUGAUCAAACUGUGUGGAUUUGUUCGAAUUUGUCUUGGAGUUUUGAGGGUUUAUGCAAACAUGGGACUCAGGAGACAGUCAAGCAUGUAGUCUGAAACAGAGCCAGGAGUGCCACGUGUCUCUGCAAACCAAAGGUCCCACUGCUCAGUAUCUCUGGGGAUAAAUGAUGUUCACAACUGUAAAUCAAUCUUCUGCUUUAGCCUCUGAUCAUACUUUGCUUUGCACCAGGGUAAAUCCAAAACUGCCUAACCUAACUCAGAAUAAAAUAAAAGAGAGAAAGAGACAAAUCUUUCUUUUCCUUCUGCAGUCAACAAGGCAGAAAUCAGGUUUUUCUUCCUAUGCCUAAGUUGGAGAGAAAGGGAUAUUUACCCUUUCAGAUUGCAAAUUUAAUUGAUUCUUGCUUGUCCCUUUGGGAGAAAAGGAGUGCAGUGAAUUUUUAAAAUGUCAGGAGGCUGGUAAAGAUGGGCAGAUCCCUUUGUCACCAGGCCAUUAUGCAGAGCUGACAAGUGGCCAUCACACCCUGAAAUCCCUGACUUGCUGUGAUUGCUCCAGAAUUGAGAUAGGAGAGAAAAUCAAGAGACAAAUAUGCAGGUUUUAGAGUUUCCUCACUGCUCUGACAAGUUGUUCAUCAAACAGCAGCAAAGCAGUUUCAGUGUUUCCUUUGCCUUCUCCUAUGAACUGGCUUCGCCCCCAACAAGCCGGGGCACAGACCUCAGGCUCCGUGUGCUCUGCAAGACAAAACUGCAAUGGAUUUUAUUUUGAGAGCCAUGUUCAAACAUAAUUCACACUGGGAAGGUGCUAUCAAAAAGCCUCGCUCCUAUGCCCCACUACAUCUUCUGGUUCCAGGUGCCUGUGGUAGGCAUGCGACAGGCAGAGCCGUGCUGUGCAAUACCCCUUGGAGGCCAUGUCCCCAUGGUGGCUCGGGACUCAGGCACAGCAUCGUCCCCUCCCACGCAUGCUGGCAGCUCCCACUCCACUCUGCAUCCUCCCAGGCUGCAGCUAAUCUCUGCCACUUCAUUACUGGUGGCCUGGCUUCACUCAGCGGGGAGGUGUGAGCUACACAGCCUUUGGAGGCUGAGAGCUUCGUGCUCCACAUGCCUCUUGUCUCUUGCCAGCCACAGUAAAACGGGGGGCUGGCAAUUGCUCCAUGGGUUGAAUUUCCAGCACGGCAGCCUGCAGUGCUAGGAGCCAUUCGCCGAAAUGUAAGGAGCUGGCUGGGACACAGUGCUGUUGCCCAGCGAGAGCUUCCCCACAGCCCUGGCCACGGAGAAGCUGGGAAUUCCUGAAGAUCCAGCUUGUCACGGGGCACGUGUCAAAGGCUGAAUGACUGUUGCUACCUCAUGUAGACUGCAAAGGAGCCCAAGCUGCAGAGGGUACCUUCUGGUCACCGAGGAAGGCAG